AUGGUCCUACGGGGGGCAGCAGUGGGGGAUAUUGCACAAUGGGGGGAACCCUGAUGCAGCGACGCCGCGUGGGUGAAGAAGCGCCUCGGCGCGUAAAGCCCUGUCAGCAGGGAAGAAAAUGACGGUACCUGAAGAAGAAGCUCCGGCUAACUACGUGCCAGCAGCCGCGGUAAUACGUGGGGAGCAAGCGUUAUCCGGAUUUAUUGGGUGUAAAGGGUGCGUAGACGGGAAGGCAAGUUAGUUGUGAAAUCCCUCGGCUUAACUGAGGAACUGCAACUAAAACUAUCUUUCUUGAGUGCUGGUGU
rnacentral:rRNA from 1 species